UAUGUCUACCCCAGCCAGAAGUCGGGCACACCGCCUGUCUUACCGACGCUGUAUUAACUGUUCCCUUUACUAGCGUCUAAUUUACGCCGGUAUACAGUUGAGGAGUUGAACGAGCAAAUGACAGUUCUUCUACGAACUUGGACAACGCCUACACCUGUAAGUUAUCGUGUGCAUAAACAAUAAUAAUUAUUGUGGACAAUAUAAAUAUAGUGGUUAAAUGCAUUAUGCAAACUCAAAAUAACAUUUGAUUAGAGUAAACUUAGCACUGUAAACUUAGUUCUUUAUGAGAGUUUAUGUAUUUACAAGUUUAAGCAGUUAUAAAUAUAGAAUAGUAUAGAAUAUAAUCUUUUCCAGGUAACGUCAGAUGAUAUCCUAUGUAUUGAAUGUUAUUUGCUGUUGCAAGAAAGGAUAUUGUCAAAUAUAACUGGAUCCCACGAGGAUAUAUCACCUGCAUAUGGUCACUUAAAUGUUUGUUAUGGAUGUGGUAUCUCUGUUGCAAGUCGGAGAACCCACAGAGUUGAGUUAGACUGUCCACAACGUAGCAUGAUUUUAAGAUGGACUUUAGCACAUCUGGUUCCACAUUUACAAAAAGUGUGCAUUCCUUGCUGGUUAGCAGCAACUCGGGAGACGAGACGUUUGGAGGUUCAAGAUUCAAACAGACCUGCAAGGGUCAUGGAUGCAGCUCUAUCUUCAUUAGAAGACCCCGAGAUACCUGAACCACCUCCAAUGCCAGCUCCAACAUCUCAACCACAACAAGCAUUACGAGUUCAAUCUAAGAUUAACUCACAAAAGUAUAAACGAGUUGCUGCAGCUUCUCGUCACUGUAUGUUUGUAGGCUGUGAUAAUGAUGAACGUCUUUAGUACCUAUGACUAUAAAGGAACUGUUGUUAUUGCAGUACAAUAUAUAUAUACCUUUAAAUGCUAGAAUCUGUCAUCACCAUUUAUAUAGCAAUCAGUGGGAUGAACUGACUACCAACCUAAAUGACUUUACUAGCUUUCAAGUUGAUGAUAUAUUUUCCAUACUGGAAAGAGCUUCUCAAAGAAGUUUAGAUUUUAAUAAUAUUGCAGCAAUGGAUGCACAUUUACGCCAUUAUUGGCUGGGACUUACAGAGAUGCAGUUUAAUGAAAUAUUAAAUAGCCUUCCUACUUUACAUAAUAAGGUUAGAAAUCCUAGCCUUGCAUUAAGCACAUUUCUUGUUAAACUUAGGACAGGGGACAGCAACCAAAGACUGGCAACUCUUUUUCAAUUGCCACGAUCUACAUUAGAAAAAAAAAUGAACAUUGUUAGGGAAUGUUUAAAAGAACAUUUUGUACCAAUGCAUUUGGGAGUUAAUCACACUAAUAUACAAAAUGUGGCCUCACGUAACAGGACUAUUCCUGAAGGUCUAUUCGGAGACAGUAGCAUGGCUCCAGAUUCUAAACCUGCUAUUGUCAUAUGUGAUGGUACAUAUGUUUAUGUACAGAGUAGUAGUAACUACAAAUAUCAGAAACAGACAUAUAGUCUACACAAAUAUAAUAAUUUGGUUAAACCCUUUUUAAUCACAUGUUGUGAUGGAUAUAUUUUAGAGUGCAUUGGACCAUAUGAAGCAACAAAAAAUGACUCGACAAUCAUGAGUGAUCUAUUUCGUAAUGAAAGUGGUCCAAUGCGCUCAUUUUUUAGACAGGGGGAUGUCUUUAUAUUGGAUAGGGGAUUUAGAGACGUGAUCCCUGAACUCCAAAGCUAUAAUUAUAAAACAUACAUGCCUGAGUCAUUAUUGGAAGGUGAAUUUCAAUUGACCACUGACCAAGCAAACAAGUCUAGGUGUGUGACUAUGUGUAGAUGGGUAGUUGAAAUUGUAAAUGGUCGCAUCAAAAGAGACUACAAACUGUUUCGACAAGAAUAUUUUAACAGAGCAUCAACACACCUUAUGGAUGAUUUUAAAAUUGUUUGUGCCCUUUUGAAUAAAUUCCACCCAACAAUUGAAGAUAGACCUGACGCUGCAGAGUAUGUGCAAAUUGCUCAGGCGAGAUUAAACAGUAGUAAUUAUUUGGGGGAAUUUAUUCGAAGGGAUAACAUCAAUAGGAGACGUACGGUUUUCCAAAACAUAGACAGCAAUGCUCCCCAUUUAGAUCAUUUUCCAAGAUUAACUUUAGAUGAUUUAAGAAGAUUUGCAUUGGGAUCUUACCAAUUAAAACAGGCUAGAUCCUAUUAUGGGGAGCACAUAAGAAGUAAUGGUACUUAUAAUGUUGAAGUAAGCAAUGAUGUCUUGGAAGAGGAUUUGCCCUUAAUAUUGGGUCAAAAUAAUUAUUUAAUUAGGACUAGAAUUAAGUCCCGCCAUGUGAGCCAUAAAACAUAUUACUCUUAUUUGUUGAUAAGUAGAGAUGAAGAUCGGGCAAAUUCUUUAGAAAGUAUCAUUGCUUACUAUUGUAACUGUCUAGUGGGUAACCGUACGGUAGGGUGUUGUGCUCAUACUAUGACAGUAUUGUGGUAUUUAAGCUGGGGCCGCUUCAACAAUGUGAGUGCUCCAGCUCAAUCUUUGGACGAAAUAUUUUAUGAAGAAUAAAUAGUUUAUUCAUG